rnacentral:rRNA from 1 species
UACGAAGGGGGCUAGCGUUGCUCGGAAUCACUGGGCGUAAAGCGCACGUAGGCGGCUUCUUAAGUCAGGGGUGAAAUCCUGGAGCUCAACUCCAGAACUGCCUUUGAUACUGAGAAGCUCGAGUCCGGGAGAGGUGAGUGGAACCGCGAGUGUAGAGGUGAAAUUCGUAGAUAUUCGCAAGAACACCAGUGGCGAAGGCGGCUCACUGGCCCGGUACUGACGCUGAGGUGCGAAAGCGUGGGGAGCAAACAGG